UACGUAGGGUGCGGGCGUUGUCCGGAAUUAUUGGGCGUAAAGAGCUCGUAGGCGGCUUGUCGCGUCGGAUGUGAAAGCCCGGGGCUUAACUCCGGGUCUGCAUUCGAUACGGGCAGGCUAGAGUUCGGUAGGGGAGAUCGGAAUUCCUGGUGUAGCGGUGAAAUGCGCAGAUAUCAGGAGGAACACCGGUGGCGAAGGCGGGUCUCUGGGCCGAUACUGACGCUGAGGAGCGAAAGCGUGGGGAGCGAACAGG
rnacentral:rRNA from 1 species